UGGGGCAUAGCCAAGCGGUAAGGCAUCAGACUUUGACUCUGACAUUCCCUGGUUCGAUCCCAGGUGCCCCAGCCA
rnacentral:tRNA from 1 species